rnacentral:rRNA from 1 species
UACGUAGGGUGCGAGCGUUGUCCGGAAUUAUUGGGCGUAAAGAGCUCGUAGGCGGUCUGUCGCGUCGGUCGUGAAAACUUGGGGCUUAACCCUGAGCUUGCGGUCGAUACGGGCAUGACUGGAGUUCGGCAGGGGAGACUGGAAUUCCUGGUGUAGCGGUGAAAUGCGUAGAUAUGCGGAGGAACACCGAUGGCGAAGGCAAUCCCCUGGGCCUGCUCUGACGCUCAUGCACGAAAGCGUGGGGAGCAAACAGG